rnacentral:tRNA from 1 species
GGGGCUCUAACUCAGUCUGGUAGAGUAGCCCACUUAGGAUGGGAAAGCCCCGGGUUCGAAUCCCGGGAGCUCGA